GUUCCAAGCAACUGGGGCACUCUGCCUAAGCUGUACAUCUAUGCCUAGUAGUUUCCCAUGUGUUACCUCUACAACAUGUUCAACUGGGCAAACUUGCCCCGGUCAUUCAGGUAUCCAUGCGUUACUUGGCAAGCGUGCGACUGGCGAUGUCGAAUUAUGUUACAAAUGUUGCCAAGGAGAUAUGUGUAAUCAAGGGCCAAUUUGUACAGGCUCAUCAACAUCUGUCCAGCCAAUGGUGGUUCCGACAACUGUGACCGUUAGUACGAUCACUUAGUCAACAACAGCUCAAACAACCCUUACGACCUCAGGUGGGGAUAUCUGUCUAUCUUGCACUGAUUCCCCUUUGACACGAGAAUGUCUCUAUACUGUGAACUGCGAAUCACAUGAGAGUUGUUAUGCUGACGCAUUCGAGAAUCCAAAUGGGGACAUCGUUUUCAAUAUGAGGUGUCGGGAUAGAAAAGUAAGU